rnacentral:rRNA from 1 species
GACGAACGCUGGCGGCGUGCUUAACACAUGCAAGUCGAACGGAGAGGCCCUGCUUUUGUGGGGUGCUCGAGUGGCGAACGGGUGAGUAACACGUGAGUAACCUGCCCUUGACUUUGGGAUAACUUCAGGAAACUGGGGCUAAUACCGGAUAGGAGCUCCUGCUGCAUGGUGGGGGUUGGAAAGUUUCGGCGGUUGGGGAUGGACUCGCGGCUUAUCAGCUUGUUGGCGGGGUAGUGGCUUACCAAGGCUUUGACGGGUAGCCGGCCUGAGAGGGUGACCGGCCACAUUGGGACUGAGAUACGGCCCAGACUCCUACGGGAGGCAGCAGUGGGGAAUAUUGCACAAUGGGCGGAAGCCUGAUGCAGCAACGCCGCGUGCGGGAUGACGGCCUUCGGGUUGUAAACCGCUUUCGCCUGUGACGAAGCGUGAGUGACGGUAAUGGGUAAAGAAGCACCGGCUAACUACGUG